rnacentral:rRNA from 1 species
CCUAGGGUGGCUGCAGUGGGGAAUAUUGGACAAUGGGCGAAAGCCUGAUCCAGCCAUGCCGCGUGUGUGAAGAAGGCCUUCGGGUUGUAAAGCACUUUCAGUGGGGAAGAAAGCCUUGGGGCUAAUACCCUCGAGGAAGGACAUCACCCACAGAAGAAGCACCGGCUAACUCCGUGCCAGCAGCCGCGGUAAUACGGAGGGUGCGAGCGUUAAUCGGAAUUACUGGGCGUAAAGCGCGCGUAGGCGGUCUGAUAAGCCGGUUGUGAAAGCCCCGGGCUCAACCUGGGAACGGCAUCCGGAACUGUCAGGUUAGAGUGCAGGAGAGGAAGGUAGAAUUCCCGGUGUAGCGGUGAAAUGCGUAGAGAUCGGGAGGAAUACCAGUGGCGAAGGCGGCCUUCUGGACUGACACUGACGCUGAGGUGCGAAAGCGUGGGUAGCAAACAGGAUUAGAUACCCUAGUAGUC